CGUCUAUGAUGAAGGAUAUUGUAUUCGUACUGCAUGAUCUUGCGUGAUUACAAUUACAUCUACUGCCUUCCUUCUGAGCCU